rnacentral:tRNA from 2 species
GUUACUUUGGCAGAUUAGUGCAAUUGAUUUAGAAUCAUUUUAUGUAAAUUUUUUACAGGUAAUA